rnacentral:rRNA from 1 species
AUUGAACGCUGGCGGCAUGCUUUACACAUGCAAGUCGAACGGCAGCACGGGGGCAACCCUGGUGGCGAGUGGCGAACGGGUGAGUAAUAUAUCGGAACGUACCCGGAAAUGGGGGAUAACGUAGCGAAAGUUACGCUAAUACCGCAUAUGCCCUAAGGGGGAAAGCGGGGGACUCGCAAGAACCUCGCGUUUUCGGAGCGGCCGAUAUCGGAUUAGCUAGUAGGUGAGGUAAAGGCUCACCUAGGCGACGAUCCGUAGCUGGUCUGAGAGGACGACCAGCCACACUGGAACUGAGACACGGUCCAGACUCCUACGGGAGGCAGCAGUGGGGAAUUUUGGACAAUGGGCGCAAGCCUGAUCCAGCCAUGCCGCGUGAGUGAAGAAGGCCUCGGUUGUAAGACGUCUUUCUAGCCGGAAG